rnacentral:rRNA from 1 species
AUACGACCUACGGGUGGCAGCAGUAGGGAAUAUUGCACAAUGGGCGAAAGCCUGAUGCAGCAACGCCGCGUGUGCGAUGAAGGCCUUCGGGUCGUAAAGCACUUUUCUGAGAGAUGAGCAAGGACAGUAUCUCAGGAAUAAGUCUCGGCUAACUACGUGCCAGCAGCCGCGGUAAAACGUAGGAGGCGAGCGUUAUCCGGAUUCACUGGGCGUAAAGCGCGUGCAGGCGGUUCGGUAAGUUGGGUAUGAAAUCUCCUGGCUUAACUAGGAGAGGUUAUCCAAUACUACCGGACUUGAGAGUGGUAGAGGAAGAUGGAAUUCCCGGUGUAGUGGUGAAAUGCGUAGAUAUCGGGAGGAACACCAGUGGCGAAAGCGAUCUUCUGGACCAUUUCUGACGCUCAGACGCGAAAGCUAGGGUAGUAAACGGGAUUAGAGACCCCGGUAAUCCUAGCCGUAAACGAUGUAAACUUGGCGUCGGUGGCUUAAACACCAUCGGUGCCGCAGCUAACGCGAUAAGUUUACCGCCUGGG